rnacentral:rRNA from 1 species
UACGUAGGGGGCAAGCGUUGUCCGGAAUCAUUGGGCGUAAAGAGCGUGUAGGCGGCCAGAUAAGUCCGCUGUGAAAUCUCGAGGCUCAACUUCGAGCUGUCGGUGGAAACUGUCUGGCUAGAGUCCGGAAGAGGAGAAUGGAAUUCCUGGUGUAGCGGUGAAAUGCGCAGAUAUCAGGAGGAACACCGGUGGCGAAGGCGGUUCUCUGGGCCUGUACUGACGCUGAGGAACGAAAGCGUGGGGAGCGAACAGG